rnacentral:rRNA from 1 species
UACGUAGGGGGCAAGCGUUGUUCGGAAUUACUGGGCGUAAAGCGCGUGUAGGCGGCUCGGUAAGUCUGCUGUGAAAGUCCAGGGCUCAACCCUGGAAUGCCGGUGGAUACUGUCGAGCUCGAGUCCGGAAGAGGCGAGUGGAAUUCCUGGUGUAGCGGUGAAAUGCGCAGAUAUCAGGAGGAACACCGGUGGCGAAGGCGGGACUCUGGCCGAUACUGACGCUGGAGGAGCGAAAGCGUGGGAGCGAACAGG